GACAUAGGGCGCGAGCGUUGUCCGGAUUUAUUGGGCGUAAAGAGCUCGUAGGCGGCUCGUCGCGUCAGCUGUGAAAACCCGCGGCUUAACCGUGGGCUUGCAGCUGAUACGGGCGGGCUAGAGUUCGGUAGGGGAGACUGGAAUUCCUGGUGUAGCGGUGAAAUGCGCAGAUAUCAGGAGGAACACCGGUGGCGAAGGCGGGUCUCUGGGCCGAUACUGACGCUGAGGAGCGAAAGCGUGGGGAGCGAACAGG
rnacentral:rRNA from 1 species